AUUUCUUUGAUGGUCUUAAAGCAUCCACAUCCACCACAACUCAAGAACAAAUCAAAAAAGGGAAGAGGAAGAUAACUAAUAAUGAGAAAGAAGAAGCUGAUUGGGAGAUAUUGGACUCUAUAGGAGAGGGGGAAGAGGAGAGAGCAACUCAUCAUAAUGAUGAUUCAAAUGAAGACCCCCUUAGUGACGACUGAUGAGUGAUGAUAAUGCUAAUGACUAGUGAGUUCCUAACUUCUUAUGUGAUAUGUUAAUGUUAUUGCUAUUUAUCUUGUGCAUUUUUAUGUUUUAUAUAUUAUUUACUCAUUAGUAUAUACAAAAUUUAUUAUUUUAUGUUUACGCAAUUUUUUUAUUUUGAGGCUUACGCCUCAAAUCGCCUUGAGGCUUACGCCUCGCCUCACGAACGAAAAACGCCUCAAUACCCGAAUACGCAAUUUUAAACCUUGGUUUCAUGUGGGUUGAUUUUGGUAGAUUGUGGGCUUUAAGAAGUGGAGUUUGGGUUACUGUUUGGGCCUUAUAGAUAUGCUGGUUUCAGGUGUGCUUUGAAGAGGUUGUAUUGGGAUGGUUUAAAGACAGUUUUGUCACAGAUUUUAGGUCUUUGGAGAGGGCAAAAUGGGCUGUAGCCACUUGAGCGAGUGAUGAGCUUUUUUUUUUACAUGAUUGGGAAGAAGGAACAGUGAAGGCAACAAGAUCUCACGUGGGAGGGUCAGAACCUGUCCUUUGUCUUCUUCCUUCACAUAAAAUGGACAAGACAGAUUUACAUAAAAAAAA